rnacentral:rRNA from 1 species
AUUGAACGCUGGCGGCAUGCUUUACACAUGCAAGUCGAACGGUAACAGGGUGCUUGCACCGCUGACGAGUGGCGAACGGGUGAGUAAUGCGUCGGAACGUGCCGAGUAGUGGGGGAUAACGCAGCGAAAGUUGUGCUAAUACCGCAUACGUACUGAGGUAGAAAGUGGGGGACCUUCGGGCCUCACGCUAUUCGAGCGGCCGACGUCUGAUUAGCUAGUAGGUGAGGUAAAGGCUCACCUAGGCGACGAUCAGUAGCGGGUCUGAGAGGAUGAACCGCCACACUGGGACUGAGACACGGCCCAGACUCCGACGGGAGGCAGCAGUGGGGAAUUUUGGACAAUGGGCGAAAGCCUGAUCCAGCCAUGCCGCGUGUCUGAAGAAGGCCUUCGGGUUGUAAAGGACUUUUGUCAGGGAGGAAAUCCCUAGUGCUAAUAACACUGGGGGAUGACAGUACCUGAAGAAUAAGCACCGGCUAACUACGUGCCAGCCGCCGCGGUAACAC